GGGCCCGCACAAGCGGUGGAGCAUGUGGUUUAAUUCGAUGAUACGCGAGGAACCUUACCAGGGCUUAAAUGUAGUGGGACAGGUCUAGAGAUAGACCCUUCUUCGGACUCAUUACAAGGUGCUGCAUGGUUGUCGUCAGCUCGUGCCGUGAGGUGUCAGGUUAAGUCCUAUAACGAGCGCAACCCCUAUCGUUAGUUGCCAGCGAGUAAUGUCGGGAACUCUAACGAAACUGCCAGUGCAAACUGUGAGGAAGGUGGGGAUGACGUCAAAUCAUCACGGCCCUUACGUCCUGGGCUACACACGUGCUACAAUGGCCGGUACAGAGAGCAGCCACUUCGCAAGAAGGAGCGAAUCUUUAAACCUUAUCUCAGUUCGGAUCGAAGUCUGCAACUCGACUUCGUGAAGUUGGAAUC
rnacentral:rRNA from 1 species